UGUUCUGCUCGCAGCCCCAAACUAAUGAUUCCAGAGAGAUGAGCUCAUUUUAAACAGGCACAUCAUCUGUCACACUCUUCAGAGCCGUUACUUUGGAAACUUUAGCUUAAUAUUUAGUUUGAGAACGGAAGGUUUGUUUUGAGCGGCUUUGUUUGGACAUUUCCUUAAAGUGAUGAAUAACAACUAUAUCUACAUUUCAAUCUGUAGAGACUCACGCAGAGAGAGAAACAGCAAUGAGACAAUUUUAUUGGCGGUCGGACACUGGCGGGAGAUGUGCGGCCUGAGAAUCGCAGCGAGCUUGAAUGAUCGACUCGAACGAAGCUCAGUUGGAUAUUCAGUUACCACCGAAGGAGAAGUCUACCAACAGCAGUGGACGACAUGGACGUGAAGACAUCUAAAAAAGGCAGAAGACUUUUCCUCUAACUGCUUCCAGCAGGCUGGAGAUCUAAGGCUGCUUUCCACGAUCCGACAUUGACCAGCAACUGCCAUUGUGGGCAUCCGUUUCACAAAACACUUUUUGUUCUUUUA